UACGGGGGGGGCAAGCGUUGUUCGGAAUUACUGGGCGUAAAGGGCUCGUAGGCGGCCAACUAAGUCAGACGUGAAAUCCCUCAGCUUAACUGGGGAACUGCGUCUGAUACUGGUUGGCUUGAGUGCAGGAGAGGAACGCGGAAUUCCAGGUGUAGCGGUGAAAUGCGUAGAUAUCUGGAGGAACACCGGUGGCGAAGGCGGCGUUCUGGACUGCAACUGACACUGAGGAACGAAAGCCAGGGGAGCAAACGGG
rnacentral:rRNA from 1 species